UCCCCUAGUAACUGCGAGUGAAGCGGGAAAAGCUCAAAUUUAAAAUCUGGCGGUCUUUGGCCGUCCGAGUUGUAGUCUGGAGAAGUGCUUUCCGCGCUGGACCGUGUAUAAGUCUCUUGGAACAGAGCGUCAUAGAGGGUGAGAAUCCCGUCUUUGACACGGACUACCAGUGCUUUGUGAUGCGCUCUCAAAGAGUCGAGUUGUUUGGGAAUGCAGCUCAAAAUGGGUGGUGAAUUCCAUCUAAAGCUAAAUAUUGGCGAGAGACCGAUAGCGAACAAGUACCGUGAGGGAAAGAUGAAAAGCACUUUGGAAAGAGAGUUAAACAGUACGUGAAAUUGCUGAAAGGGAAACGCUUGAAGUCAGUCGCGUCGUCCGGAACUCAGCCUUGCUUUUUUGCUUGGUGCACUUUCCGGAUUGACGGGUCAGCAUCGAUUUUGACCGUCGGAAAAGGGCUGGAGUAAUGUGGCACCUUAUGGUGUGUUAUAGACUCUGGUCGCAUACGGCGGUUGGGAUCGAGGAACGCAGCGCGCCGUAAGGCAGGGGUUUAUCCCACUUUCGCGCUUAGGAUGCUGGCAUAAUGGCUUUAAACGACCCGUCUUGAAACACGGACCAAGGAGUCUAACAUACCUGCGAGUGUUUGGGUGGAAAACCCGAGCGCGUAAUGAAAGUGAAAGUUGAGACCCCUGUCGUGGGGGGCAUCGACGCCCGGACCUGACGUUCUCUGACGGAUCCGCGGUAGAGCAUGUAUGUUGGGACCCGAAAGAUGGUGAACUAUGCCUGAAUAGGGUGAAGCCAGAGGAAACUCUGGUGGAGGCUCGUAGCGAUUCUGACGUGCAAAUCGAUCGUCAAAUUUGGGUAUAGGGGCGAAAGACUAAUCGAACCAUCUAGUAGCUGGUCCUGCC
rnacentral:rRNA from 1 species